ensembl:lncRNA
CCUGAUCUGUAGCAAAGCGGGGGGGUUCUCUACUGUAAGUAUGUCACACACGUUUGCUUUGCUCGUAUUGUCCCUGAAUCAUCUCACUGUGCUCGACUCCCCUGAAAGGAAAGUAUCUCCUCCCACCAAACGAUGCAAAGGAAAUAGAAAUAAAAUCUUUCAUCUUUGAUUGUUCUCCAAAAAAGACAGAAAGGCCUGGGACACAACGGGACUUUAAAUCUUCAGUACACCACGAGCACAAAGAUCCACCUUUGUUCCUACCCUCAUCUGAGGUAUUGAAGAAUGGGUUGUGACCCAAAGAACUCGGUCCCAGGUGACUGGUGGGCUUCCUCUACCAUCUCUAUGCUGAUGACACCCAACUGAGACACCGGUCGCUCAGAUCUCUGUCUCGUUGACUGACAUCUCCAACGGAUGCCUGCACCCCCCCCGGACACUAAUGAGAAGAGUGAACUUCAAAGAGUGACGAGUGAAAAAAGGUCUAACAUUUUGUUUUUACUCGUUUUUGAGACAAAAGGUGAGACGAUAUGUCACCUCUGAAACAGUCCUUUGAUUGAUGAGCGUGAGAUGCAUGUAGUGGUAAAUGUGAUAUGUUAUAACAUUGUUUUGUGCUAAAGCCGUGUCUCAAGUGUCCUGUAUUUGACCCUGAUGUGCAAAGAGCAGCACGAUACAAAAUGUUGCUUUGCAGCUGUGUCCUGAGAAGGGAGGACGGUCGACUCGAGCUCAUAGACGCUUCAAAACAAAGGACUCCUGUUCAUGGCCUUGGUUCAUAUCUUAUUCGGUACAAAGUUCCGGAUCCACGUUUUACUUUAUGUCAAUUAAUAAUGAUUUGCACCGGCCACUGAGGAGGAUCUUGUGUGUGUGUGUGUGUUAUCCUCAGCUUCACCUGGGUUCUUAUCUCAACCUGCUUUGUAGCUUCUCGUAACUGGCACGGAGAAUGUCCUUCACAUGUGUAUAAAACUCAGCGUUUUCACUGCUCGGAGACGCCAUUACGCCGAGCGCUGAGAUACGUGCUGGUGUGUUGGACCUCCUGCUUGCAGGCAAUAGUUAGAGCCAGAGAUCUGCGGAGAAUUGCUCAUGUAACCUUUUUCU